rnacentral:rRNA from 1 species
UGGGGAAUUUUGGACAAUGGGGGAAACCCUGAUCCAGCCAUCCCGCGUGUGCGAUGAAGGCCUUCGGGUUGUAAAGCACUCUUGGCAGGAAAGAAACGUCAUGGGUUAAUACCCCGUGAAACUGACGGUACCUGCAGAAUAAGCACCGGCUAACUACGUGCCAGCAGCCGCGGUAAUACGUAGGGUGCAAGCGUUAAUCGGAAUUACUGGGCGUAAAGCGUGCGCAGGCGGUUCGGAAAGAAAGAUGUGAAAUCCCAGAGCUCAACUUUGGAACUGCAUUUUUAACUACCGGGCUAGAGUGUGUCAGAGGGAGGUGGAAUUCCGCGUGUAGCAGUGAAAUGCGUAGAUAUGCGGAGGAACACCGAUGGCGAAGGCAGCCUCCUGGGAUAACACUGACGCUCAUGCACGAAGGCGUGGGGAGCAAACAGG